UAACCUAAUGGUGCCACUUAUGUUUACUCUAAAGAUGACACCUAGCCCCUUUCAUGCAUGCAUGACACCUUGUAACUUUUGCAUUAGCCAAAACCNNNNNNNNNNNNNNNNNNNNGGACUAAAUUUUUCUUUAAGGAGGGGAGAGUGUAACAUCCCCCAUUUUUAAAAAUUUAGUAAAAGGUUUGUUUGUAAAAAUAAGGAUUAUUUAAUAAUUAUUUUAUAUUAAAAGUUUAUGACCAGGGACCUAAGAGUAAAUAUUAGAAGUUUGAUAUAAUUUAUGAAAGAUUCAGAUUUAAGUUAAAAAAAAAAAUAGUGGGUAUGUGUCACUAGCUAACCUAAUGGUGCCACUUAUGUUUACUCUAAAGAUGACACCUUGCCCCUUUCAUGCAUGCAUGACACCUUGUAACUUUUGCAUUAGCCAAAACCCAAAAAAAAAAAAGAGAAUUAGAUGAAAUGUUAAAGAAAACAAACCUGAAGAGUUGCAGCCAACGUGAGUUUGAGAAGAGAAGGAAAGAAGAAGAAGAAGAAGAAGAAGAAGAAGGAGAAGAAGAAGAAGAAGAAGAAAAAGAAGAAGAGCUUGAGGUUUUUCAUCAAUUUUCC
rnacentral:lncRNA from 1 species